UACCAGCAGCCAGCAUAGCAAAGAGAAGCCCUGAGACUGCUCUAAUCUACCCGGGGGAGUAUGCCAGUGCAGAAUAGCCCCAGAAUUUGGGAGUGGCAAAGGUGACAAACUCAGUCACCUAUGCCCAGCACAACUAAAGUGAUUUGUAACCCAACACCAGCCAAAGCUGAUCACUUGCAGCUACACAGCUCCUGUCUGCUAGAUACCUAUGCAGAGUAGGUGUGUUCAUAUAGACACGGUGUGU